ACCCUUGCCUGGCAGGGAGACGCCAUGGUCAUGAAGGCGGUUCUCCCAGGGCAAGGCUUAUCCCUUGCGCUGCAGAUGGGCUGGCCCCUGCGACUUCCCCAAAUGUGGGAGACUUUGUGGGAAACUUGGCUGCAUGGUUUGUGGCAGUGGGGGUCUCACA
rnacentral:snRNA from 1 species